UCAUGAGCACAAACUCUUCUCCCAUGAAAAUUAAUCAUGGUUCGUGUAAUGAACUAAGUUAUUCACUGAACUGUAUUUACUGUGUACAUAGUAGGUUAAAUCAAGGUGGGCGUAGAAGAUUGAUUCCACCUUAUAUACAAAACGUCAACAUUGUAAACUGUGUAAAUAGAAGGUUUGCUAGAUCGAAAAAUAAAAUCGUUCGUUCUUUUUAGAACCGACUAGCUAACAGUUAACACCGUCUUUUCGAUUCGCUCCGUUCAAUCAAAAGUAAAAUUAAUAAGUUUCAGUGGCGACGAGGAUUAAUUGGGUUUUUUUUUCGCGUGUGGUAGCUGUCCGCGAGUGUUAAGAAAGGUAUUUUUUUGCUGCGCUGGAGCGUACAGGCAAUAUUAUCAGCGACAUCAUCUGGUGCAGGUUCCGGAGGAUUUUCUCGAUCUGCUUGGAUCCGGCAAGGUGACCAUUUUUUGGUACCGCGUGGUUUCGCAAUUUGGACAAAAAUCCAGCGCCGGUCGUGAGUGACGUUAAAAAAAAAAAAAAGAAAAAUCAUCGGCCAAAUUGUGGCGUGAGGAAAUUUCGUGGCAAAUUGAAGCCAUCCGGAAACCGCAAGCGAGUCGCUUGAAUCUUGAAUCUAUUGGCAAGCGUGUUGAUCUGGCAAGUGUUCCAUGCCUAUUGCGGCGGUUAUUGUCAUCCGGACGAAAGCAGUUUUAUAGAGCAGGAACGUGAUUUAGAAACCCUUGGCCGUUGUGCAAGUUUACGGAUUAUUUGGCGUAUUCCGGUACUGAAGAUCGCGAUCGGCUCAGCAUUGAUCUCGGCCCACAGGGGGCAGAUUAGAAUCGCUGACAAAACAGAACACAGGCGCAAUGUGGCGCUUCAGAUGGAGGGAUACACAUCUAGGCCUAAUCAAGGCAAAAAGAGACAAUACGAGGACUCCGAAGACGACGAACCAUUCCGGGGAUUCUCCGUGGUACCGCCUCCGGCUAGAAGCGAGGCACAUCCAGAUGUUUUGCGAGAAAAAGACCCUGCGGGAUCGAAUCAUGAAAUCAAUCCAAAUGGUACAACGAGAAAUCGCUUGCGAAGAUCAACACGAGCAAGAAAAAAGAAGUUUGAUGGGAAUUAUUUGUAUUUUAAAUAAUAUGAUUGCUUUGUUUGAAUUGAGAUAUUCAGUCGAGAAGUUAAAUUAAUAGGAAGAUAGUUUCCAUUCUGAAAAGUAAUAAUAUUGUAAGAAACAAGAAUUACUUAGAAGUUUAGUAGACUGUUCGAAUUGCUUAAAGGGAAAGGUAUUGUAAUGAACUAAGUUAUUCACUGAACUGUAUUUACUGUGUACAUAGUAGGUUAAAUCAAGGUGGGCGUAGAAGAUUGAUUCCACCUUAUAUACAAAACGUCAACAUUGUAAACUGUGUAAAUAGAAGGUUUGCUAGAUCGAAAAAUAAAAUCGUUCGUUCUUUUUAGAACCGACUAGCUAACAGUUAA